GGUAGCCGACCUGAGAGGGUGACCGGCCACACUGGGACUGAGACACGGCCCAGACUCCUACGGGAGGCAGCAGUGGGGAAUAUUGCACAAUGGGCGGAAGCCUGAUGCAGCGACGCCGCGUGAGGGAUGAAGGCCUUCGGGUUGUAAACCUCUUUCAGCAGGGACGAAGCGUGAGUGACGGUACCUGCAGAAGAAGCACCGGCUAACUACGUGCCAGCAGCCGCGGUAAUACGUAGGGUGCGAGCGUUGUCCGGAAUUACUGGGCGUAAAGAGUUCGUAGGCGGUUUGUCGCGUCGUUUGUGAAAACCCGGGGCUCAACUUCGGGCUUGCAGGCGAUACGGGCAGACUUGAGUGUUUCAGGGGAGAU
rnacentral:rRNA from 1 species